CACACCAGGUGUUUUGUACGUUUGUCAUUUCAGGAGUUGGCAUCCGUUGGAAGAGUUUGUGAAACCCUCUCUCAGCUCAGAGCUCCAGGACCAAUGCAUCUUCCCACUGCCUUAAACCACUGAGAAAUUCAGAGCCCGGUUGCAGAAGACUUGUCCUGCUAUACCACCAUGAGCUCUGGUGAGUGCCAAAGCUUUGUCAUAAAUUAUCAUCAUCACCAUCAUCACCAUCAUUGUUGAUAUAUCAAGAACUACGCCAUACGAUGUACAUGUACUGUGUCCUAAUCUUUACAAUGGUCCCCUU